CUCGACGAGCUGGGUUUGGCUCGGCCUCUCGAAGUCGAGUGCCGAGCGCCGAGUACUAACGAGUGCCGGGAACUAAGUUCUGUCUGCUAGAGGAGGCACCUACUUCGUUAACGCCUUUAAAUGUGAAAUCGGUUGCGUUAAUCGUUCCGUGCGAAUAUAGCACGAAGGAUCGUUCAUUUCUCCUUCAUUUCAACUAUCAUGAAAUACGCUUGUACGGCAGUUCUCGAUCACGCCUCUUAAACAUCGAAUAAUCGUUCUUCCAACGUACAUCAUUGGUCCAUUCUUUCUGGAUCUCAUCGACGAAUCCUAACCCGACCAAAAACUACUUCUAUUCUUCUCUUUGGUCACUGUACUUCGAAACUAUGAAGUGGCAUCCUAAUCAUCUUGAAAAUUUAGUGCCGAGGAAUGUAGGCGACGAAAGUACGGAUCAAAACAAUAAUAUAACUAUGACGAGCGAGGAUUUAUUACAGCCUGGCCAUGUGGUCAAAGAACGAUGGAAAGUGGUUAAAAAAAUAGGGGGUGGCGGAUUUGGUGAAAUAUACGAAGGCCUAGAUUUAAUGUCAAAAGAGCAGGUUGCUCUUAAAGUGGAAUCCGCACGUCAGCCUAAACAGGUUCUUAAAAUGGAAGUUGCUGUAUUGAAAAAACUGCAGGGUAAAGAACAUGUUUGCAGAUUUAUAGGCUGUGGUCGUAACGAUCGAUUUAAUUACGUUGUAAUGCAAUUGCAAGGCAAAAAUUUAGCUGAAUUAAGACGAGCGCAGCCAAGAGGUGCUUUUUCAUUAUCAACUACUUUACGACUAGGUCUUCAAAUUUUGAAAGCAAUAGAAAGUAUACAUCAAGUAGGCUUUCUUCAUAGAGAUAUUAAACCUUCAAAUUUUUCUAUUGGACGCCAAUCAUACAAUGCUAGGUUGGUAUAUAUGUUAGAUUUUGGUCUAGCCCGCCAGUUUACAACGGGUACUGGUGAAGUUAGACCACCCCGUGCUGCUGCAGGGUUUAGAGGAACCGUCCGGUAUGCAUCUGUUAAUGCACAUAAGAACAAAGAAAUGGGACGACAUGACGAUUUGUGGUCUUUGUUUUACAUGCUUGUAGAAUUCGUUAAUGGUCAACUACCAUGGCGUAAAAUAAAAGACAAAGAACAAGUGGGUUUUAUGAAAGAAAAGUAUGACCACCGCUUACUUUUAAAGCAUCUCCCAUCUGACCUACGCCUGUUUUUGGAACAUAUUCAGAGUCUGGGAUAUGCAGAUGAACCAGAUUAUGCAAUGUUAGCUGGUUUGUUUGAACGAUGCAUGAAACGUAGAUGUGUGAAACCAAAUGAUCCUUAUGAUUGGGAAAGACCAUUGAUAGCUAAUGAAGGUUUAUCAACUACCAGAUCAUUACCUACAGUUACUGUUCCUCCUGCACUUACAACAGCAACUGCUAUUAAUCAGCCUCCAACCAUACCAACUGUAGAUACAAACAACCAAGAAAAUGUUGAACCAGACAACCGAAAAGAGUUAGAUGCACUGAUGGAUUAUGAAAGUGUAUGUAGAAGGAACAGACAACGUGAAGUUGAAAGUUCUCCAGUACCAUUUGCAUCAGCUAUUAGUAAUCAUGGUCGAGAUAAAAAUUGUAAUGCAACAAUACCUACAACAGAUAAUACUCAGGCUGGUACACAGAAUACUGCAAUUCUUCCUGUAGUUCAAGGUUCUCCGAAAAAAAGGCGUGCUUUAUCAAUGGCAGUAGAACCACAAACUCCUGCUACAACAGUAGAAAAGCAACUGGACAAUGAAGGUGAUGCAUUAAUGGCGUCUGCUUGUUCAGCUUCUGAAGUUCCUCGUUCUAAAGUAAUAUCAAAUGCAGUAACUCCAUUAAGAAAAUCUGCAAGUGGCGCAACGUUUGCCCGUUUGCGUGUUGCUACUGCUCCAGAAAAAACUUCUGGUGAACCACCAAGUCCACGUGUACAAACUGAAGUGGAUGCGUCUUACUGCUCAUAUGAUGUGACUAAUACAAAAUACAUAGGAAAUCAAAGUCCCCAGGUUACUGAACAGAGGGAACCAUUACGACGGGAACCAAGAAGAAGAACAGAUGGGCGACAGCAAGGAAGAGCAGGACGUGCUACUGUACGGGAUUGCUCCAUUACGCAGUUUGCGCAGAUAGAUGACGACAAUGUGUCAGCCUUACAACAAGUGACAAAAGGUGGUGGUGGAUUAACAUUAGCUUCACAAUGGAAAUCGCAAUUCGAUGAUUCUGAAGAAACAGAUAAUGAAUGGAAAGGUGAAAAUUUACAAAGUCCCGAACAUAAGGGUACGAAUCCACCAUCUUUGGUUCCACAGACAGCUGCUAAUGAAGCUAAUACUACAACAACUUCAAUACCAGUACCACCUGAUACAAAAGCAGCAGGUCCACACCCAAGUAGUUCAUCAAAUACAGUACAACAGCAUGUGGUAGUACCAACAGCUUUAUCGCGUAUAAGUGAAGAUUCUCCACGUCCGGUAGUUCCACAUAGAUGUUUAAAUAUUGCUGGUAUAGAGAAAUAUCCAGAACUUCAAGGAGCUCUUCCACGUGCUUGGAGCGUUCCUACAUUAGCACCGCAUGUUCGCAGCCAUCUUGAAGCUCCAUUGGUUCAACAAGCUGCAUUUGAUGACUUAUUUUACGAAGUAGAUGUUAUGAGAAACAUUGCUACAAGAUAUGAUGAGCCAAGACAAAAUCCACCACCAAGGAGAGCUAGUGUACCUGCUGUUGCUUUUUCACCUCAUAACACUGUGCCAAGCACUCCUGCUGGCGAUGAAGAAGAAGAAGCUGUAGCAGGAAAGCUUGAAAUUAGAGUAGUAGAUGCAACUGGAGGAGCUACAGUAAUACAAACAAGUGCAGAUAGGGAACCACUACAAAGAAAAUUAACGAAUGGUACUGCAGGUAGUCCAGCUAGCCCAAAUCCAGGGCCUGAAGAACCAUCAGUUUAUUACGAUGCAAAUGAAAGUCGGGUACCUAUUAACAAUAUUCAGAAUAAAGAGUCUGGUGCUACCACUGCCGUAACCACUGUUUCAAACUCAGUGCCAUUACUGCGUGAAUAUAAGGACAAUAAGGAGAAGGAAACACCUUGCAGAACGUAUAGUAUUCACAGUAAAAUACCAAUACCAGUGAAGAGUCCUAAAUGUUCAUUAUCCGAAUCAACUCCUGAAACUAAUACACCAAAUACUAGGACUGGAACAGGAAGUGAAGUAGAAAAAUCACCAGCACCCGUGGUUGUAACUAAGGAAAGAGAAACUACUAUCAAAGGUAAACCCUUGACAGUACAUAUGGAGGCACCUGCACUUCGUCGUUGUGCUACUUUACCUGAUGCAAGACCAAAUAUGUCACCUUUAACAUCGGCUAGUUCGGCGGAAGAUGACAAUUUAACUGGUUGUACACCAGCAUUACGCCGUCGAAGACAAAGUGAAAAGUAUGUAACAGAUGCCAGUCAACUAAAUUUACGAUUUCAAAGACCACAACGUAGGAUGAGGCCAAAUUCUGAAGUAUUACCAAGAUGCUUCCCUAGAGGUGUACCUUCGCAUCUGUUAGGAGAAGGUGGUAAAAGAACAGAAGAAAGCAGUGAUAAUGAUUCUGAUAGCAGUGGUCCACAAAACGCUCAACCUCCACCGCCGCCAGCAACUCUUCCACCUCAUGUAGCGGAAAAUAAUGCUAGGUGUCGCAGAUUUAGACCUAUACCAGAUACUACGGUAGUUAGCAGAGAAUCGUGAGAAUUAGUGUUCAGAAUUUCCCAAGUCUUUGCUUAUAUUACAAUCAAGACAAUUCUACCACAGCCAACUGGGAGUGUGAUACUUUCUUGGAAGAAUACAGCCUUCAUAGUAAUCCGAGAUGCUCAUUAGAACUUAAAGACUUUGCUGAAAGGGAUGGAUAUUCAUUGUUAUUUUAUAAGAGAAGCACAGCACUAUAUUAUUUUGAAUAUAUUGACGGCUUAUAACGUGUUAACAUUAUCAAUGUGAAUUGAGCUUUAAUACCAUAUAAAAUAUACGUUAUGUGAGUCAAUCAUGCUGGUUUUACGAUCUCCAAGCUCUAACGCAGUGGUGUCCAAUCUUCUUGGUAAUAUGGAUCGCAUUGAGUAAAAAAUCGCAUAUAAAAAAUAAAAAAUACAAUAUAGUAAAUAUAUAAUAAAUAUAAAAAUUUCUUUUUUUUUUUUUAGUUUUUAGUCACAUUAUCUUCGCAAUAAAACACUAAACAUGUUUUCACUUAUAAAGUAUUGCUGCUUUAAUCCUAUCACCACGUGGUGUCCGCGGCCAUCGAAAUUUUUUCCAUAAAACGAUUAUAUUCGGGUCGUUGUAUUAAUCUACCACAGGAAAUUUAUUCUAGGCCAUAUUAUUUGCUUUAUUGGACCAUAUGAGGUCUGAGGGCCACAAGUUGGAUACCACUGCUCUAAUGUAAAACGCACGCUUAAAUUUUAGUUCUACCUAUGAAACACUAAGCGGCGCAGUAAUACGUAGAUGUAAUAGCUUUAUUUGUGUACGAGUAGUAUUCAUUGUUUUGUGUGCGUAUAUAUUGUGUGUAUACUAAAAUAAUAUUUAUUUUAUUUUCGCUUCGGCGCACUUGUGAAAAAACCA